rnacentral:rRNA from 1 species
UACGGGGGGGGCAAGCGGUUGUUCGGAAUUACUGGGCGUAAAGGGCUCGUAGGCGGCCAACUAAGUCGGAUGUGAAAUCCCCAGGCCUUAACCUGGGAACUGCAUCCGAUACUGGAUGGCUUGAAUCCGGGAGAGGGAUGCGGAAUUCCAGGUGUAGCGGUGAAAUUCGUAGAUAUCAAGCAGAACACCUGCGGCGAAGGCGGCCUUCUGGACGAUGACUGACGCUGAGACGCGAAAGCGUGGGGAGCAAACAGG